ACAUAGACGACCCACUGCCCAGAACCUAAAAUUGGCACCACAAGAGUAGCCACUGACAUAUCGAGGUCAAAAAUUGGCACCUACACCUCGGAGCUCUCCCGCCCUAACUCGAUCACCGACAAAUGGGACCCACCAUGAAUCCCGCUCAGCAUGGCCAAAAUCCCCCACUCGUCCAGCCUUAUCCCCAGUGCUCAGCAUGGAUCCACUC
rnacentral:lncRNA from 1 species